UACGAAGGUUGCAAGCGUUACUCGGAAUUACUGGGCGUAAAGGGCAUGUAGGUGGUUUGAUAAGUCUGUUGUGAAAGCUCCCGGCUCAACUGGGAGAGGCCAACAGAAACUAUCAGACUUGAGUAUGGGAGAGGGUACUGGAAUUCCCGGUGUAGCGGUGAAAUGCGCAGAGAUCGGGAGGAACACCAAUGGCGAAAGCAGGUACCUGGACCAUUACUGACACUCAGCUGCGAAAGCUAGGGGAGCAAACAGG
rnacentral:rRNA from 1 species